rnacentral:lncRNA from 1 species
UAAUUUUCACAGGAAAAUUCCACGGGCACUAUCUGAUAUGUGGAGACAUUUCACUGCAGCUAGUGUAGAAGGAAAAGCUGUGUACAUUUGCAAAUACUGUGCCAAGUCAUAUGUGAAGAAUGCAACAAAGAUGCAGAAUCAUCUGGCCAAGUGCAUAAAGUUCCCUCAGCGCUCACAACAAGCAACCUCUGACAAAAGUGUCUUGCUCGAGCUGUGUAUGCAACUGGUUCACCUCUGCUCACAGGCAAUGUGUAUUGGAAGAGAUUUUCUGAAUGUUCUUCGCCCAGCAUACACCCAUCCAACCAGACAUGUGUUAUCUACUCAUUUUCUGGAUGCAGAGUUCAACAGAGUUCAAGUGAAGGUCAAGCAAAUCAUAGAGAAAGCAGACUGUAUUGCAAUCAUCUCUGAUGGGUGGUCGAAUGUUCAUGGGCAAGGAAUAAUUAACUACAUCAUCUCCACCCCUCAACCAGUAUUCUACCAGAGCACAGACACAAGGGACAACAGACACACUGGUCUCUACAUUGCAGAUGAGCAGAAGGCAGUCAAUGACCUUGGACCACAGAAGGUAUUUGCACUGAUGACAGACAAUGCUGCGGACAUGAAGGCUGCUUGGUCUAAAGUGGAGGAGACCUACCCUCACAUCACACCCAUUGGCUGUGCUGCUCAUGCAUUGAAUCUCCUCCUCAAGGACAUCAUGUCACUGAAAACAAUGGAUACACUCUACAAGAGAGCCAAGGAAACGGUUAGGUAUGUGAAGAGUCAUCAAGUUAUAGCAGCAAUCUACCUCACCAAGCAAAGUGAGAAGAAUAAGAGCACCACAUUGAAGCUGCCCAGCAACACCCGUUGGAGUGGUGUUGUCAUCAUGUUUGACAGUCUCCUGGAGGGGAAGGAGUCUCUCCAAGAAAUGGCCAUAUCACAGUCUUCCGAUAUGGACAGCCGCAUCAAGAGGAUCCCCCUCAAGGGUUAACAUUUUUUUUGCCAUCCGGGAAAAUUUGAGGCUUUUUGAGUCUGACAACGAGCCAUCCUCAACAAGGUCGGAGUGUGACAGUGAAGAUGAGUUCUCAGAGUCUGAUGUUUGUCACGAUCCGGCUCGAAGUUCGUAACAAAAAGGGAGACAACGUGGAGAUAAGGAAUAACAAAAUAUAAUUAUUAA